UUAAUUGAAGAGUUUGAUCAUGGCUCAGAUUGAACGCUGGCGGCAGGCCUAACACAUGCAAGUCGAGCGGUAACAGAUUGAUAGCUUGCUAUCAAUGCUGACGAGCGGCGGACGGGUGAGUAAUGCCUGGGAAUAUACCCUGAUGUGGGGGAUAACUAUUGGAAACGAUAGCUAAUACCGCAUAAUCUCUUCUCUUUUACGAGAUGGGAGCAAAGAGGGGGACCUUCGGGCCUCUCGCGUCAGGAUUAGCCCAGGUGGGAUUAGCUAGUUGGUGGGGUAAUGGCUCACCAAGGCGACGAUCCCUAGCUGGUCUGAGAGGAUGAUCAGCCACAC
rnacentral:rRNA from 1 species